rnacentral:lncRNA from 1 species
UAUAUAUAUUGUGAUGAAUUUUAAAAGAAAAAAUGGUUUUUUGAAUAUUAGGUUCUGCGAGGGAUUUGCGGAAUUAAUUGGAUUUGUUGUGGAUCGCGUUCGCAAGGUAAGUGAUGUAACCUCUUCCCUAGAUUUAUCGGCAAAGUAAAUAUCUGUUUUACGAAUCGAAUUAUUUAUGAUUUCGAAUUUGAUGCAUGGAUUAUAUGUGUAUUUUAGAAUAUUAUAUGAUUAUGAUUGAACGUAUUUGCUUCUGAUUUGAAUUGUGUUUAAUUGCUCCGACAUUGUAUCUUUUGGCUUGGAACACUAAACAUAAUGUAAGAAAAGAUUAUGACUUGAAAUAGAUUCAGACUUGCAGUCGGGCUAUGUUGAGGACCCUGCCAAUGGGGGCUAAUACAUUGGUACCGCAAGAAAUGAAUAGUCGGUGAUAUGACCCUACCACAGGGAACAUGUGGUCAUAGUUCCUGGCUGUUGAGUUGAAUCCGAUAAAUUGAAAGAAAUUAAGAUAUGAACGACAUUUGGUUUUGACAUUGUAUGAUUUUGUUUUAUAUAUAACUGAAAUAUGAAAUAGAGAACAAACUGAACUAUCGACCUGGCUAUGUUGAGGACCCCGCCAAUGGGGG